UAAUAUUAGUGUAUAUUUUUCCGUACACGGUAAUAGUAUUAGUCAUAACUUAUAAUUUACUAUAAAAUUUUGCAACACGCGUGCAAUGUACCUUAUGUGUACUAUAUGUGCAGCUGGUGUGAUUAUGUGGCAGCCAAUCGUUAGGCACAACUAUAUAAUAUAUCGCAGACAGACGAAAAGGUAAGCAAAUAUGAAUGGGUUUAAAAAUGUUUGCCAACGAAACACGAUUGUGCAGCAAACCUACACCGCGGAAAGUGGUGGCAUUACCUCGUGUUUUCAUUUAUGCAAGGUGUUCAAAACGCAUUUUCCUGCAACACUCGGUGCGAAAUCAGUGUAGUGGGAGAGAGAACAAAAACAACAGUGGUAGCGACGGCAGGUUUAAUGGACCACGGGGAAGGUGGCCUAGUCUCCAAUUAUAGUUAAAACUUAAAACCAAAGUGUGUAUGCUGUUUUAAUAUGAUUAUUAUUAAUAUUAUUGUUGUUGUUGUUGUUGUUAUGGUUAUUAUUACCACUAUUUUUAAUGAGACAGAUAGACAUAUACAAUAAAAAAGCCACGAGUAUAUAAUA